ACCGCGGCGAGUGCGGCCGUGCUGGGAUGUCCUAUUGUACCCUGGGGUUCCUUUCCGGAUGGGGGUGCAAAAUGGAAGGAGUUCUCAAGGUAAAGCAUGAUAAAGGGACUUGCAAUAAUUAGCGCGUUUGAUUCCAGUACCUCUAAGAACUGGCGAGAGCGACAACGCGAGCCUCCCCCUGAGUUCCCAAUUGGUUUGACCCAGCAAAGAUGGCGGCCGCCGGGUUUCCCGCACUCCGCCCGCUGACGCGGCCCGUCCGUCUGCCAGCCGGCCCGCCUUGCUUGGAAAGAAGCAUGCGCGACCUGCGGAGCUGAGGAGCGGGGCAUUUUGGAAGUUGAAGUCUCCUGCUCGGGCCCCUCGUCUGGGAGGAAGGUUCCGGCGGUACAUUUUUGUCUGCUCCAACUUCGAGUCCGGAACUAGCGAGCAGAGGUUGGACCCGGGAUGGUGUGGCACCGGAGCCGAGGAGGGGGCGAUGCCGGCUUUCUGGACACUGAGACCUCAUCCCGCUUCCCAUAGGAGCCCUGGCUGAGCUGUCCAUCCGGAAUAGUGCGUUCUCGGAUGAACACGGCAGGUAGAGGCACUUGUCCCAGGUCACAGAGCCGGGAAGUGGAAUAAGCUGGCUACAGUUCCUGCGUUCCCAGCAUUCUGCUCCUGGAAAUAAGUUUGGCAGGUGCCUAAAUGCAACCUCACGUGUUGGGACUUACGAACCAUCCAGAAGGAGGCACCCUCCAUUACCAGAGAGAACACAGUCUAACUGAGGGUCCCUUUGGGCGGUGGCUCCUGGAGGGAAAUGUGGCCUGGAUUUCCUGGAACACGUGGAGCUGGAGUCCCAGUGCUGCAAGGAGGGAGCUGCUGGCAGCAGAGUGACACCCUGCCCCCCAACAUAACUGGGUUCUCUGGAGCAAGUGGCCACUUUGAGUUGGAUUUCUGUCACUUACAACCAAAAGAGAACUGGCCAAUUCCAGGCAGAAACACGUGGGAACAUUGGAAAAGGAGAGCAGUUGGGGUGAUGAAGAAUUGGCUGGAAAUCCUUUGUGAUGGGGGUAGGACCUGAGUAGGGUAUUGAAAAAUGAAUAGGAUUUUGAUGCAUGAAGAAGAAACAAUAUUUCCAA